GGGUUGUGAGGUUAAGCGACUAAGCGUACACGGUGGAUGCCUAGGCAGUCAGAGGCGAUGAAGGGCGUGCUAAUCUGCGAAAAGCGUCGGUAAGGUGAUAUGAACCGUUACAACCGACGAUACCCGAAUGGGGAAACCCAGUGCAAUUCGUUGCACUAUUGCAUGGUGAAUACAUAGCCAUGCAAGGCGAACCGGGGGAACUGAAACAUCUAAGUACCCCGAGGAAAAGAAAUCAACCGAGAUUCCCCCAGUAGCGGCGAGCGAACGGGGAGGAGCCCAGAGUCUGAAUCAGUUUGUGUGUUAGUGGAAGCGUCUGGAAAGUCGCACGGUACAGGGUGAUAGUCCCGUACACAAAAAUACACUUGCUGUGAACUCGAUGAGUAGGGCGGGACACGUGACAUCCUGUCUGAAUAUGGGGGGACCAUCCUCCAAGGCUAAAUACUCCUGACUGACCGAUAGUGAACCAGUACCGUGAGGGAAAGGCGAAAAGAACCCCGGCGAGGGGAGUGAAAUAGAACCUGAAACCGUGUACGUACAAGCAGUGGGAGCACCUUCGUGGUGUGACUGCGUACCUUUUGUAUAAUGGGUCAGCGACUUAUAUUUUGUAGCAAGGUUAACCGAAUAGGGGAGCCGUAGGGAAACCGAGUCUUAACUGGGCGUCUAGUUGCAAGGUAUAGACCCGAAACCCGGUGAUCUAGCCAUGGGCAGGUUGAAGGUUGGGUAACACUAACUGGAGGACCGAACCGACUAAUGUUGAAAAAUUAGCGGAUGACUUGUGGCUGGGGGUGAAAGGCCAAUCAAACCGGGAGAUAGCUGGUUCUCCCCGAAAGCUAUUUAGGUAGCGCCUCGUGAACUCAUCUUCGGGGGUAGAGCACUGUUUCGGCUAGGGGGCCAUCCCGGCUUACCAAACCGAUGCAAACUCCGAAUACCGAAGAAUGUUAUCACGGGAGACACACGGCGGGUGCUAACGUCCGUCGUGAAGAGGGAAACAACCCAGACCGCCAGCUAAGGUCCCAAAGUCAUGGUUAAGUGGGAAACGAUGUGGGAAGGCAUAGACAGCCAGGAUGUUGGCUUAGAAGCAGCCAUCAUUUAAAGAAAGCGUAAUAGCUCACUGGUCGAGUCGGCCUGCGCGGAAGAUGUAACGGGGCUAAACCAUGCACCGAAGCUGCGGCAGCGACGCUUAGGCGUUGUUGGGUAGGGGAGCGUUCUGUAAGCCGUUGAAGGUGAACUGUGAGGUUUGCUGGAGGUAUCAGAAGUGCGAAUGCUGACAUAAGUAACGAUAAUGCGGGUGAAAAGCCCGCACGCCGGAAGACCAAGGGUUCCUGUCCAACGUUAAUCGGGGCAGGGUGAGUCGACCCCUAAGGCGAGGCUGAAAAGCGUAGUCGAUGGGAAACAGGUUAAUAUUCCUGUACUUGGUGUUACUGCGAAGGGGGGACGGAGAAGGCUAGGCUAGCCGGGCGACGGUUGUCCCGGUUUAAGCAUGUAGGCGGAGUGACUUGGUAAAUCCGGUUGCUUAUCAACGCUGAGGUGUGAUGACGAGCCACUACGGUGGUGAAGUAGUUGAUGCCAAGCUUCCAGGAAAAGCCUCUAAGCAUCAGGUAACAUUAAAUCGUACCCCAAACCGACACAGGUGGUCAGGUAGAGAAUACUCAGGCGCUUGAGAGAACUCGGGUGAAGGAACUAGGCAAAAUGGUGCCGUAACUUCGGGAGAAGGCACGCUGGCAUUAGGUAAAGAGACUUGCUCUCGGCGCCGAAGCCAGUCGAAGAUACCAGCUGGCUGCAACUGUUUAAUAAAAACACAGCACUGUGCAAACACGAAAGUGGACGUAUACGGUGUGACGCCUGCCCGGUGCUGGAAGGUUAAUUGAUGGGGUCAGCCGCAAGGCGAAGCUCUUGAUCGAAGCCCCAGUAAACGGCGGCCGUAACUAUAACGGUCCUAAGGUAGCGAAAUUCCUUGUCGGGUAAGUUCCGACCUGCACGAAUGGCGUAAUGAUGGCCAGGCUGUCUCCACCCGAGACUCAGUGAAAUUGAACUCGCUGUGAAGAUGCAGUGUACCCGCGGCAAGACGGAAAGACCCCGUGAACCUUUACUAUAGCUUGACACUGAACAUUGAGCCUUGAUGUGUAGGAUAGGUGGGAGGCAUCGAAGCGUGGACGCCAGUCUGCGUGGAGCCAACCUUGAAAUACCACCCUUUAAUGUUUGAUGUUCUAACUCGGCCCCAUAAUCUGGGGUGAGGACAGUGUCUGGUGGGUAGUUUGACUGGGGCGGUCUCCUCCCAAAGAGUAACGGAGGAGCACGAAGGUUAGCUAAUCACGGUCGGACAUCGUGAGGUUAGUGCAAAGGCAUAAGCUAGCUUGACUGCGAGAGUGACGGCUCGAGCAGGUACGAAAGUAGGUCUUAGUGAUCCGGUGGUUCUGAAUGGAAGGGCCAUCGCUCAACGGAUAAAAGGUACUCCGGGGAUAACAGGCUGAUACCGCCCAAGAGUUCAUAUCGACGGCGGUGUUUGGCACCUCGAUGUCGGCUCAUCACAUCCUGGGGCUGAAGUAGGUCCCAAGGGUAUGGCUGUUCGCCAUUUAAAGUGGUACGCGAGCUGGGUUUAGAACGUCGUGAGACAGUUCGGUCCCUAUCUGCCGUGGGCGUUGGAAGAUUGAGAGGGGCUGCUCCUAGUACGAGAGGACCGGAGUGGACGAAUCACUGGUGUUCGGGUUGUCAUGCCAAUGGCAUUGCCCGGUAGCUAAAUUCGGAAGAGAUAACCGCUGAAAGCAUCUAAGCGGGAAACUUGCCUCGAGAUGAGUCUUCCCUGGGGCUUUAAGCCCCCUGAAGGAACGUUAAAGACUAUGACGUUGAUAGGCUGGGUGUGUAAGUGCAGCGAUGCAUUGAGCUAACCAGUACUAAUGAUCCGUGAGGCUUAACCUUACAACACCGAAGGUGUUUUAG
rnacentral:rRNA from 1 species